ACAGCAUGAUGCACUUCUUCAAGCAAAUGCUACUAAUUACCGUUACGGUUUUGUUUGCAAUGCAUUUUGUUAAUGCGUGUUGUGGAGCCCACGGAGAAGACCGCAUUCAGCCUCAAUUCCACAGAGUUGCUUUACCCAAUCGAAAAUCCAUUUUCCGUUUACGAAACAGCACUUCUCCUUAUUAGAAACACUUUACUAUCAAACUUCCCUUAACUUGAAAAUUCUAGAUACCUACCUACUUAUGUGGUUGUUAUAUAACAGGCCGAAUUUCAAAAAACCUCUGCAUUAGACUCAAGCAAAUUAGAAAAUCUCCCAAAAACCACAAUGGCUAUUGAAAUACAGAAGAUUCUAGCUCAAAUUCAGGAUACCAAGGUUGUAAGGAAUAAAGGACACGCACAAGAAUUACUGAAACAAAUGAAGAAAGUAUUUGUAACUACCAGUACUAAGUCUAGAAUACUGUAUAAAUGUCCUUUCCCAAGGUGCAAAGCAAAAUCUAUGCGACCAAUUCAUUAGUUUGUUAAAACGCCAAUAAACGAGACUAAAUUAUGCAUUAAAAAUCUGUAUUCUGUCUGGUUCUUUAUUUUAAUAAGUAACAUAAAAACGCUAAAAAAUUAUUUCCAUUAUUUCCUUCAGGUGACAGAUUUCUACCAGUAACUUAGGGUGUGUGCUUUAGAAAUAUUAAAACUACCCUCAGUGU